UGAGGAAUUUUGGACAAUGGAGGAAACUCUGAUCCAGGGAUACCGUGUGAGUGAUGAAGGCCUUCGGGUUGUAAAGCUCUUUCAGUGGGGAAGAUAAUGACGUUACCCACAGAAGAAGUGACGGCAAACUCUGUGCCAGCAGUCGCGGUAAUACAGAGGUCACAAGCGUUGUUCGGAAUUACUGGGCGUAAAGGGUGCGUAGGCUGUUUUGUAAGUCUGUUGUGAAAUACCGAAGCUUAACUUCGGGGCUGCAAUGGAUACUGCAAGACUAGAGAACGGGAGAGGUAAAUGGAAUUCCUAGUGUAGAAGUUAAAUUCGUAGAUACUAGGAAGAACACCAGAGGCGAAGGCGAUUUACUAGAACGAUUUUGACGCUGAGGCACGAAAGCGUGGGGAGCAAACAGG
rnacentral:rRNA from 1 species